GGGGUGAGGAGAUCUAGAAGCUCUCAGAGUUAGAAAGAGGUCGAAUGUCGAGUCGAAAUGAAGAUCGUUAGGAUUUGAUGUCUUGAGAUUUGAUCUGCAUUGAGCCCACAUGAGGUCCACGAUGACGAACGAAGUCCAACGAGCUCAAGAUCACCUCAAACAGAGUCCGGAUGAUCGAGAUAUGCUCGAUUGAAGAUGGCAUUC
rnacentral:lncRNA from 1 species